GUCCGAGAGGGUACUAAAUUACAUUGAAUAUAUAGGGUAAAUCUAUAUUUUUCUUCUACAAUUUUCGGUUUCUAGUAUAAAUCACGAGAACCGCUCCAUAGAAUUUUUUUUUUAAAUUAAUAUUUUUUUCCUCUUUGUCUUACGAAUUAGAUGAUAUUAAAAAAAAAUAUGGUCACCGACUUCGUUUUCCCUGUAGAAGCGACGCAAACCCAACAUUUUGACAAAAAAAAAACAUAAAAAUUCGUGACGUCGUAAUUUUUAUUAUAUAACGUCAAGUUAUCAUGCUAAUAAUUUCCAACGUUCUUCGUGUUGAUUAUGCACGAUGAUUAUGUGUUUCGUAUUGAUAGAUUCUUUUUAUCAUAAGAGUCUGGAUAAUUAUCAUAAAUUUUUAUUUAGUAUUACCAAUAUUCUUUAUUCUUUAUAUUUUAGCACCUCAUUAUACACUUUUUCUUUUUUUUCUUUUUUUUGCAUUUUAUUCUGCAAUUUUUGCCCAUUAUUCUGUAUUCCGUAAACCCCAAUCAGACCCUCUUUUAUGGAACAUUUUAAAAAGAAAUUAUACGUUGUAAAAAUGUGAUACAAGUAUGUUCAUUAUCAAUAUACAUAUCUAAAACAAUUACUAAUUCCGACAAAAAUACGUUGUAAGUACAUGAACGCAAAAAUGGUAAAAUCUUAAAAAUAGAAAUCAUCA
rnacentral:lncRNA from 1 species